UGUGAUUUUAUAUGAUUAACCCUUGAGAAUUGCAGAUUUGUAAACUAUGAGUAGAGUUUUCUGGGCACAUUUACUUCGAGUGAAUACAUUGGUGUUCAUUCUGGUCAUCUUUCCAAAAUUAAGCCCCUUGCUCAGUUGGACAAAGUUUACAUCCUCAGUUGUGCCAUACCGACAAGUUUGGUGUCCUACUCAAUGCUUUAGAGCCUUGAAUUAUGCAUCCUAAACUGAUACUACACAUUGAUUCGUUUGCAUUAUACUGGAUAUUUUGUUUUUUUAAUAUUUGGUUUGGGUGCCCCUCUGAAUGUAGCUAAAGGAAAAAUUAUCCUCAGUUGCUGUUUAUGGCCUCGCUGCUACUAAAGGUGCAAGAAUUUUUGGUGCGCGACUGAGUAUAGGGGUGGAGUCGGUGGACUUGAAGCCCAAGAGGUUUGACAAAGCUAAAGAGAAGACCGAGACAUCAACUAGUGCAGAAGCUCCUGAUAAGACUAAUUGCAUAUAACACUACAAAUGAGCACCACAAAUUUAAGCUUCAUGUUGUGUGAGAAAAUGGCUUCAAAAUUGGAAUUUCCAUUAUCUGGGCAAGGGAAAACAGGAAGAGAACACCAAUAGUGGUGACGAUGGAGAAUCCUUUCUUUGCGGUGGAAAUCGACGGUCUAUGUGCAACAUUUAGCCCAGUUCAUAAGAGCAGUGGUCAAAAUGAAGAACCAAUGACAUGGGGAUUUGUUUAAUUUUAUCAAGUUUUGUACUGAGGUAAAACUUCCCCCAUUUAACAUAGUUUUAAAUGCUGAUUAGUAUGUGUGUGAAUUGGACUGUGAGUAUGGUUGUAUAUAUGUAAUAGUAGAAUUAGAAACAUUGUUGUAAUUAUGUGUAACUAGAGUUGUAAACCCACGCAUAACACGGGCUUUUUUGCUUGUUAUUACUAAUUGACUAUUAAUAAGAAAUCAUCAUGUUCUCUCA